UGUGUGUCUCUGUAUGUGUCAUUCAGUGAACAGGCAGUGAAGCAGCUUCAGAAGAACAGGAAGCACAUGCAGCAGAAGUUCAGUGUGAACGAGGACCGGAGAGCAGAGGCUAAGGAGGAGCUGUCCCAGAUGGCUACGCUGCACCCCAAUGCCAGGGUCAACUUGGAGGAGCUGGAGCAGAAGACCUUCAUGGUGGAGCAGAGGAUGCGAGUAUGUGUGAGAAGAGCCAUGCACUUAGCUAGACAUCCAUGCACUCUAACCUGUAGUAAAUCCAUCCUAGAUAUAGAGGUGGCAUAUCCUUAUUGACACGUCUAAUGUUUAGAUUCAGCGCUUUGACCAUUAGAUAUUGCCGAUCACAUAAUCUGCACUAGUUGUCAGUGAAAUAAGCACAUACUUUUAGAGAUUCAUCCAUGCAUGGAGACUCACUAACAAGUUGGGUUUGUGAAAGGAAAGGAGCACUUGAAGAUAGACGUUCAGAUAGAUCCAUGUACAAUGAUGGAAUGGGCUUCUUUACUAGUGUUACUGAUGCAACACAUCAGUAUCUCCUCAGAAAGUGACUGAGAAUCCUAAGAAAGACGAGCGAGAUGAAAGCCCUGGCCAUUCUGAAGGAUAAAAGAACAACUAUUGAAGCAGAAUUACACCAGGAGCAAACCAACACAGGAAACGCCAGAUGGGAACUUCAUAAGGAAUUUGAGAAAGUGUGAAGUUUAAGGGAGCAACUCAGUGAUUUUCCUACGGAACACAACAACACUUCAGUUUGUCUGUAAAAGGAACGGAGGCUAAAACUUGCCCAUCUAAAUACAGUCAAGGAAUUACACCAAGCUGUUACCGACGGGUGUAACCAUGCCUUGAGUAGGAUCGCAGACCUCCGUGCUAAGUCCAAAGAGUACAGAACAGGCCCUUACAUGGUGGAGGAAACAGCAGCCGCUAUGCCAGAUGUCAUUGAAGAACUACAGUUCGUCUUUGAUGCCGUAGAGUUUCAAAACCAAACAGCUAUGUUGAUCAUGAACACCUUGGAACGUGAUAUCACCAACUGUCAACAACGGAUGGAGCCAACAGUGGAAACUCAUACUACUCUGUUCACAACCAGACAGGAGAAAAUGGAGGAAACCAAGCUUUCUUUGUUGCAGAAGAGGAUGCACAGAGCUGUGGUGAAAUACUUCAGACAACGCAGCCUCUACAGCCUGGCUGAACUGGCCCGCUUCCAGAACCUCUCUAACGAGAACAACCAGAAAAUAAAAACCAUCCAGGGUUGCAUGGAGAAGUGGAGAUCUUCAAUUACUGGAUAAUGGGUGGCUAAUAUGUGGUGGGACGUGAGAGGAGGUCAAAGCGGACAGAAGGAGAGUGAUGAAUCUCUAUCAAAUGUCCUGUCCUGUAGCACCCUCACCGACCGUCAUACUGUAGCAGGAGGAGUUGUCAGAAGCAAUCCAGCGCAUCUCUGCUUUCCUGCAGUCAGUGGCAGAUGACUCAACUAGAGUAACAGUGAUCAUGCUGCGACAAUAGAGACAGCAGCAGAGAACAAACAAGCGGGUCUGGAUGCCAUUGGAUUGAACAAGAAGAAGAUUCUUACAGUUCAGAUAACAGUGUAAUUGGACAUUCACCUGGUCCCAGACAACUUACUUACCCCAGCACGCUUCACUAAUUCACUAUGCUCCCUCUCUCUCUCUUACCAGCAGCAGAUCCAUAACAAUGAAACAGGUGACUUUCAUGCUGCUGUCAGGACUGAUCUAAUUUUAGCUGGGUGAAUGAUUGCAAUUGGCUUUGCCUCAUCAGAUAAUUAAUCUAUGUCACCAUUAAUUGGAAAAGAGAAUAAUUACAGGCAGUGUUGACAGAAACUCUACGCUUCUCCAGAUUUCGAGAUCUAAUUACGACUACUAAAACCCACCGUGACCUUAACUAGCACUUAGUACAUCACCUCGACCACCCUGACCAAUGCCGAAGCAAAAAAACUUCCUCUCAGUAGACAUUAAGCCCUGUUUUUGUUGUUUCAUUUUUUUCUCCCUCUCCCUUUUUCUCUCUCCCUCUGUGCUCUCCUAGAGAGCUGUCUCCCUCAAUCACUUUUCAAUGUUCAAUCUUCAUUUUGUGGAAGUUUAGCAUUUUCAAUGAGCUGGAUAUGAAUGAUUAAUGAAUAAAUUUAAAUGCUUCAUUUUGUCCAUGGAUCAUUAGUUAAGUCCUUUGUGUGAAGGACCUGAAAAAAGGAGUAAAAAUUAUUGAGACAUUAGCCUGGAGCAAUCUAGGGGUAAAUAGUGUGCACAUUAUAAAAUAAUGUUGUGUAGCGGGUGCAGUAUCCUACUGGCUUUCUAACUAACUGAAGAACCCCCAGGUAACGCUGCUUUCAGUUUAGGCUGAAUCCCACAUAGUAUUUAUUUGUAGGAGAAAAUGUAUUAUUUUAUCAAGCAUGUUCCCAUUGC